UUUGUUUUAGGAAAGCUCGAACCC
rnacentral:snRNA from 1 species